AAUAUAUCAUACUCCAAAACUUUAUUCAUUCAUUCAACCAACAAACACAGCAUGGUCACUCCUUCACAUCUGUGGCUCCCAAAGGACCUCAAAGAGUUAACAUGUUUGUUUCACACUCCAGUUUGGAAUGCCACUCUUCCCUCCACUAUUGGAAUUCUGUUCCAGCAUUACAUUACAUAGCUUCCCUAAUGCCUGCCUAUGGGGAUGUGGGUAAUGGCGCCAUCUGACACUUGUCAUAAUUUCAUUCAAACUCAUAUUGCUUUUACAUUGUAUUUUCCUUUGCCAUUCUGGCUCCUAACUGCCAGCAGCAGGCUCAAAUUUUACCUAAAUGGGAGCAUUCCAACAUAAUGUACGGUCUUCUGUAUUUCUCUGGGGUUAUACAUUCCUACUUUCACCAUAGUUUCUUACAGGCCUUCUUGGAUCUUUUAUAGACCCGUGUAUUAACUUUUAAUCUUCAAGGCUGCAAGCUGAAGACAUUCAAGCAUACAGUGUGUAUCUCUGAACACCUUGCACUCUAAAUCUAGGUCCUCUGCUGCAAACCAGCACUUCAUCACAACCGCCAGGUACUUAGCUGCCCCAAAUUUCAGGAGAUUAAAAUCUCUCUUUUCAUGGCUUUUAUGUUUUAUUCUCUCACUGAGCUAACACCAAAAGACCAACCCAUCAAAGACCUAAUAAAGAAUUAGAUUGAAAUUAUAUCUAUAGAGAUCUCCAUAUUUCUUAAAUGGCCAUUUUUUAUCUAUUUAUUGAGUGUUUAUUAUUUCCUCUCAAAAUGCAAAGUCCCUAGCACUUCCUUCAAGGUUCUCCAUGAUUUUGAUCCAUCAAAAUCUCUAACCUUCAUAUCCCAUUGCACCCUUCAAUCAGUCUCUAUUCUAAAUACCAUGAACUACCCACUAGCGCUUAAACUUUUAUACCUCCCUUGCUUUGUUCAUGCUGUUCUCUCUAGUCAUAAUACCCUUCCCCACAUGCUCUGCUUACCAAAAUGAUAAUCAUUUUUCAAAGCCCAGGCCAAUUGCCAGCUCUU
rnacentral:lncRNA from 1 species